GCCUGGGUGGCUCAGCGGUUGAGUACCUGCCUUCGGCCCAGGACGUGAUCCUGGGGUCGCAGGAUCGGGUCCUGCAUCCGGCU
rnacentral:tRNA from 1 species